AAAAAUCAAGCACCAACAAUGAAUAGCCGGAGUAAACAAAACAAGCAGACCAAAUCGUGUCGGCCCUCGAGGAAGGGUUGCAGUGUCGAGGAGCAGCAGGCAUGUAAAUCUGACUGCAAUUCAUGUAUGUCUCUUCCUAUUUAUCCGUUGUUCAACUGUGUUAUUUGUUUACUACGACAGAUUUGAGUAAUUGUCGGUCAUGUAGCUAAUGUAGGCGCAGCUUCAUGAACGUCUGCCAAGGUUCUUAGUGAGGGCUUCCUCUAAGAUGCUUUCAGAUUUUUGAUUAUCUAGCAUAUAUAUGCAGUGAAGAUGUCUCUGAAUAGGAUACAUGGUGUUCAUGUUCUGUUAGAUAAUUUUAUUCUUGUGUAGUUUGAUUUAAAAGAUGAUAGGUCAGAAUGACAGAAUGUGAUUAGUUUUGCUUUUGCUGCUGCUACACAUGAUUUUACUUUUGUUUUUGAUUGUUUCUUCUUCAGUUUCUUAAGGCUAGAACACUACAGUGAUUGAUUAUGCACCUGAAGGAUUAAUGAAGCUGCUUGGACUGAAUUUCUCUUUAAAAUACAUGGUGCUUGUUUGGGAUGAUUGGCCAAAAAUACUUGGGAAUUGGUUUUUUAUUAUAUGCAAAGCUUCAAGCCUUGGGGUCUUGCUGACAUUAGUUGUUUCAAGUUCAGAACUUUUUCCCCGCUGACUAUACUCUCUCAAGUUCAGGUCACGGUGGAUGGUUUGAGAGGAGGGAGGCAGAGCAGAGACAAACGGCGCAUUCCGUCAUGCAUGUGUGUGGAUUUGUAUCAUCCUACUACUGUGUUGCUUUGUUUUACAGUAAUAAAUAAAGAGAUGAAUCAGAU
rnacentral:lncRNA from 1 species